GAUGAACGCUGGCGGCGUGCCUAAUACAUGCAAGUCGAGCGAACAGACGAGGAGCUUGCUCCUCUGACGUUAGCGGCGGACGGGUGAGUAACACGUGGAUAACCUACCUAUAAGACUGGGAUAACUUCGGGAAACCGGAGCUAAUACCGGAUAAUAUAUUGAACCGCAUGGUUCAAUAGUGAAAGACGGUUUUGCUGUCACUUAUAGAUGGAUCCGCGCCGCAUUAGCUAGUUGGUAAGGUAACGGCUUACCAAGGCAACGAUGCGUAGCCGACCUGAGAGGGUGAUCGGCCACACUGGAGCUGAGACACGGUCCAGACUCCGACGGGAGGCAGCAGUAGGGAAUCUUCCGCAAUGGGCGAAAGCCUGACGGAGCAACGCCGCGUGAGUGAUGAAGGUCUUCGGAUCGUAAAACUCUGUUAUUAGGGAAGAACAAAUGUGUAAGUAACUAUGCACGUCUUGACGGUACCUAAGCAGAAAGCCACGGCUAACUACGU
rnacentral:rRNA from 1 species